AUUGAACGCUGGCGGCAUGCCUUACACAUGCAAGUCGAACGGUAACAGGUUAAGCUGACGAGUGGCGAACGGGUGAGUAAUGUAUCGGAACGUGCCCAGUCGUGGGGGAUAACUACUCGAAAGAGUGGCUAAUACCGCAUACGACCUGAGGGUGAAAGCGGGGAACCGUAAGGCCUCGCGCGAUUGGAGCGGCCGAUAUCAGAUUAGCUAGUUGGUGGGGUAAAAGCCCACCAAGGCGACGAUCUGUAGCUGGUCUGAGAGGACGACCAGCCACACUGGGACUGAGACACGGCCCAGACUCCUACGGGAGGCAGCAGUGGGGAAUUUUGGACAAUGGACGCAAGUCUGAUCCAGCCAUGCCGCGUGCGGGAAGAAGGCCUUCGGGUUGUAAACCACUUUUGUCAGGGAAGAAACGAGUUUCUCUAAUACCUGGGGCUAAUGACGGUACCGUAAGAAUAAGCACCGGCUAACUACGUGCCAGCCGCCGCCGUAAGAC
rnacentral:rRNA from 1 species